GUGGCGAACGGGUGAGUAAUGCAUCGGAACGUGCCCAGUAGUGGGGGAUAACCGCUCGAAAGAGUGGCUAAUACCGCAUAUUCUCUACGGAGGAAAGGGGGGGAUCUUCGGACCUCCCGCUAUUGGAGCGGCCGAUGUCGGAUUAGCUAGUUGGUGGGGUAAUGGCUCACCAAGGUUACGAUCCGUAGCUGGUCUGAGAGGAUGACCAGCCACACUGGGACUGAGACACGGCCCAGACUCCUACGGGAGGCAGCAGUGGGGAAUCUUGGACAAUGGGGGGAACCCUGAUCCAGCAAUCCCGCGUGUGUGAUGAAGGCCUUCGGGUUGUAAAGCACUUUUUGCAGGGAAGAAAUAGCCCGGGUGAAUAAUCCGGGUGACUGACGGUACCUGCGGAAUAAGCACCGGCUAACUACGCGCCAGCAGCCGCGGUAAUACGUAGGGUGCAAGCGUUAAUCGGAAUUACUGGGCGUAAAGGGUACGCAGGCGGCCAGGCAAGAAGGGUGUGAAAUCCCUGG
rnacentral:rRNA from 1 species